rnacentral:lncRNA from 1 species
GCAGCCAAAUCUAAGGCCUGUUAUCGCUGAUGUUGUCACUGCACUCACUUACCUCGCUUCCCAGAGGUUUGAUCCUAUGGCUCAGCCAGUCCAAGGCUCCCUUUUCGCUCCUGGGACUCCACCUAGAUCAAAAAGGGCCUGAGAACCGCAAUGCCUCGUCAGUUAUUUACACUAGACCUUCCCGAGCUGUCUUUUUUAUUGGGAUGUGUGUCAGACUAAGCAUGAAAGUGUUUCUUAAGAGUUGUUUGUAGAUAUGUGUAAGAAGAGAGAGUUUUCACAUAGAGGCCAGUUUGUAAUGUUGUUAUAGUUGAUGGAUCUACACAUGUUAUGUUUAUGUAGCAACUGCUUUGUAAUGUGACAAUAUAUCAUUAUAUGGUAUUCAGCAAUGUAUCUGUUUCAUUCCAGAAUUAUUAUACUAUAUACUUUACCUCCGGGAAAUUAAAAAAAAAAAAAAUCGGUGGCUUACGGUCGUCUCCGAUUUCAACUCUCAGAGAGACUUAAAAAAACCUCUGAAUCAAAAUCCUUCAUCACUCUCUUUUUUACUUUGCUCUUUCUCAGCUCAGAUUCUUCGUUGCGGGAUUAGUUUAUUGUAAGAUCAGCUCCUGCUUAUUCCUCUGUUUGUGAUUAGUUUCGAUUUGGAAUUUUUCGAUUUGAUGAUUCUGUAGAAACUUACUUGAUUGCUGAGUGAGUUUCUGUGUGUCAAUUAUAGUUUAGGAGAAGGAAGUGCUUUAAUUAUUUUGAUUCGUUUGAACGCAGUGAAGCAGGAUUGGUGUGAUGAAUGGUGAUGAGAACGGUGAGGGUGAGGGGCAUAGUGGAGGAGAAGAUAAAGCCAAUGGAGUCCCUAUGGAUGUGAGAAAUGGGGCUGGCCAAGGCUCCUCACCUGGAUUGCAAGUUCCACUGUCGCAGCAAACGCAGGCCACUGUUUGUUGGGAAAGGUUUCUUCAUGUCAGAACCAUCAGAGUGCUUCUCGUGGAAAAUGAUGACUGUACUCGUUAUAUCGUUACUGCCCUUCUUCGUAAUUGUAGCUAUGAAGGUCGGUCAGUUCUCAAGACUAUGACUUUACUUGUUGCAUACCACUAAUAGAUAAUGAGAAAGCAACUUUUAUUUAUGUCAGUUGUGGAGGUAGCGAAUGGUGUACAAGCUUGGAAGGUGUUGGAAGAUCUUAACAAUCAUAUUGAUAUUGUGUUGACUGAGGUGGUCAUGCCUUACUUAUCUGGUGUCGGCCUCUUAUGCAAGAUUUUGAAUCACAAAUCUCGCCGCAACAUCCCUGUCAUCAGUGAGUGUUUUCUCUCUUUUCGUUGCUUCAGGUUCUGUUAGUGAAGUAGGUGCUUUUAACUACAUUCCCCUGUGAGUGUUUUUUCUUUCGUUGCAGUGAUGUCGUCUCAUGACUCAAUGGGGCUGAUCUUUAAAUGCUUAUCAAAAGGAGCAGUUGACUUUCUCGUUAAACCGAUAAGGAAAAACGAGCUUAAAAUCCUUUGGCAACAUGUUUGGAGAAGAUGUCAAAGUGUAAGUCCCCUUUUGCUUGUAUCUGAAAAAUUGUUGGUAUUUAUUUUAUCUAAUUGUGAAUUGGUAUCUAUCUUUUGGUUUUCCUUGUUUCAUGUUCACAGUCUAGUGGCAGUGGAAGUGAAAGUGGAACACAUCAAACUCAAAAGUCCGUGAAAUCCAAGAAUAUUAUAAAAUCUGACAACGAUUCAGGACACAGUGGUGAGAAUGAGAAUGGGAGCAUUGGCCUGAACGCUAGUGAUGGAAGUAGUGAUGGGAGUGGUGCUCAGGUGAGAAAAAAUGCGCAAAGAUUUCUAGUUUAUUCCGAAGUUUUACUUUGCAAACGAUCAGGAUUUGAUUUUGAUAUAUCUUUUCUUCAGAGCUCUUGGACAAAAAAAGCUGUGGAAGUUGAUGACAGUCCACGAGCGGUGUCUCUAUGGGAUAGAGUUGAUAGCACAUGCGCACAAGUGGUACAUUCAAACCCCGAGUUUCCCAAUAAUCACUUGGUUGCAGCACCUGCUGAGAAGGAGACUCAAGAACAGGAUGAAAAAAUUGGUAAAUAAAGGAAGCUGUGAUCUCUCAGUUUCUUCCGUACUCUUCUUUAUAUUCAAACUUAAAAACAUGAUAGUGAACAUUUUUUUCCAUAAUUUCUGCAGAAGAUGUCACAAUGGGUAGAGACUUGGAGAUUAGUAUUCGUAGAAAUGAUGAUUCAAAAGAUGAGCCCCUAACUAAAACCACUGGCAUCCUGAGACAGGAGAAUUCAUUUGAAAAGAGCUCUAGCAAAUGGAAAUUGAAAGUUGGAAAAGGACCGUUGGAUCUCAACAGUGAAAGUCCUUCAAGUAAACAAAUGCAUGAAGAUGGAGGAUCGGGUUUCAAAGCUAUGUCUAGCCACCUUCAAGAUAACAGAGAACCGGAGGCGCCUAACCCACACUGCAAAACUUUAGAUACCGGUGAAGCUGCCGUCAAAACCUCUGAAGAGCUGAUGGACGUUGAACAUAGUUCAAAGAGGCAUCGUGGAACCAAAGAUGAUGGGACAAUAGUUAGAGAAGACCGCAAUGUGCUGAGGCGUUCAGAGGGGUCAGCUUUCUCAAGGUACUUAUCCUAAAAGCUCUGUUUUUUUUUAAUACAUAACCUUAGAAGGUUGUAUUGAAGACUUAUGAGAUCGAUUGUUGGACUUGUAAAGGUAUAAUCCAGCCGCAAAUAACAAUAAGCUUCAUGAUAUUAAUUGCCAAGAUCUUACAAAGAAGACUGAAGCGGCGUGUGAUUGUCACCUAAACAUGAACGAGAGUCUCCCCAAUAAUCAUCACUCACGCUUCGGGAGCAAUAACUUGGAAAUGAGUUCCACGACUGGAGCUCCAAAAGUGAGCUCGGCAGGAUCUUCAACAGUUAAGCACUCAUCGAUUCAGCCUCUACCUUGUGAUCAUCAUCACCACACGUCCUAUAAUCCUGUUCACAUCCCUGAGCGGAAGUUACCGCCACAACGUGGAUCCUCAAAUGUGUACAACGAAGCGAUUGAAGGUAACAACAACGCAGUGAAUUACAGUGUGAAUGGAAGUGGAUCAGGUAGUGGUCACGGAAGCAAUGAUCCAUAUGGAAGUAGCAAUGGCAUGAAUGCUGGAGGAGGGAUGAAUACGGGCAGUGCUAAUGGUGCUGGUGAUGGUAGUGGAAGUGGAAGUGGUAGUGGGAAUGUUGCAGAUGAAAAUAAGAUGUCUCAAAGAGAAGCUGCUUUGACAAAGUUCCGUCAGAAGAGAAAAGAGAGGUGCUUCAGAAAGAAGGUAACAACUUAAAAGCUUUUGAUUGUUAUUUCAAAACAUUUGCAUGUGUUAACUUAAACAUGUAGUCAUAUGAUUCAUAAAAAUGUGUUUUUCUUUUUCUCAGGUACGAUACCAAAGCAGGAAAAAACUAGCAGAACAACGCCCUCGUGUCCGUGGCCAGUUCGUGCGUAAAACAGCUGAUGCAACGAAUGAUAACGACAUAAAAAACGUUGAGGAUAGCUGACAGGAAGUUCUCUACAAAACCAACACUUAUCAGCUUUAAAAAAAAUGGUAACCUUCUCAUCAUCUUUGUUGGGACCUAUCAGUAAAUCAAUCUAUCUAUCACCUGUUUUUUUAACAAACUUUCAUUACCCUCAAAAGUCUGAUUCUUUGAUACUACUACUACUACAACUAUUCCACGAAACAAGGACACGACUUGUUAUGGUCUGGUUUGUGGAUUCAGGAGAAAAGGAUUUGGUUCAUGAGUUGUGUAGAUGUUGUAAACUUGUAAAGCAAUAACCACUGGUUGUAUAUUUUUUUUGUAUAAGCUUUGUUGUUGAAGCCGAGUAGGAUACAGUCUCGUAUUUUUGUAUCAGCAUCAUCUCUUCUUCUAGUAUUAUAUGGCAUGUGUAUUGCAAAAUUACAAAAAAAAAAACUAUUAGUUUCAGCAUUUCUAUUACAAAUAUUCUUUCUUUUUAACACAUUUGUUAGAAAGAAUAAUCUCUUAUCUGGAAACCAUUUGAUUGCUUUAAGAAAAUUAUUAAAGGUGUAAUUUUCAUGGGUAGUUGAUGGAUGAUACGACGUUCGAAAUUAAUUUUCAUAAAAGGCAAAAGUCAAACACGUUAUACAUUAAUUUGUAUCACAAAGCAUUUAAAUUUAGAAAGAAAAUAAUAAAAAACCGAAAAAUCCAGCGAUUGGCGUACUCUUUUCCAUUUUCAAAGUUGUGAGCUUUUCUCUCUCUCUGCUCUCUUGCUUUCGAGAUCAAUCGAAAGGAAGGAAGAAUCAUCGGAAGAAGAAGGAGAUAGAGGAGCUGAUGGGUUGGAUCCCGUGCUCUGGGAAAUCGAGUGGGAAGACUAAGAAGAGGAGCAACAGUGACGAAAACCUCAGCAGAAAUUGUUCUGUCUCUGCUUCAGGUACUGUUGUCAAGAACGAUGCUCCCAAUUACAUCAUUUUUUUUUAUUCUGGUUUUAACCCUUCUAGGACACAAUUAUAGAAAUCAGUAAGCUUUUGUCAUUACAUCGCUGUCUGAUUCCGAUGAGCUACUGUUUGGUAAUGCUGAUUAGGGUUUUUGACUUUUUUUUUUUGGAAAGAUUUUGAUUCCUUCGAUUAGUAGCUUGUUUUGAUCCACUUGUGCUACUAUUACAAGUAUCUUGCUCUCAUUUGCUUUACUUGAGCUCGUGUUGGUAUUGUCUUUCACUAGUUUUAGUGUAAUGGGUCUGUCACUGUUUACUGGCCUUUUUGCUAUUAAAGAUGAUAACUUUUAAUUAUUGUCUCAUGAAGAUUACUUUGGUUUGUUGAUCCUACUGUGUAAAGCAUUGAUCUUGAGACACACUUGUGCUCAGCUUGUGUCGAGUACUUAUUUCUUCUGGCUUUCUUUCUUUUUGUUGUUGGUAGAGAGAUCUAAGGCCAAAUCGUCUUUGAGUGAAUCCAAAAGCAGAGGGUCUGAUAACAUUGUGGCACAAACGUUUACAUUCUCUGAGCUAGCUACCGCCACUAGAAACUUCAGGAAAGAAUGUCUUAUAGGAGAAGGAGGAUUUGGUAGAGUUUACAAAGGUUACUUAGCAAGCACUGACCAGGUUCGUUCCUUUUUUUUUCUUCAAAUUUUUAAAGUCAUUAGUAGUUAGUGAAAGCUCACUGAUAUUAUAUUCUUCAUUUUGUAGACAGCGGCUAUCAAGCAGCUUGAUCAUAAUGGUUUACAAGGAAACAGAGAGUUCCUCGUUGAGGUUCUCAUGUUGCGUCUUCUUCAUCACCCAAAUCUAGUUAACCUUAUUGGUUAUUGCGCUGAUGGAGAUCAAAGGCUUCUCGUCUAUGAAUACAUGCCUCUAGGGUCACUUGAAGAUCAUUUGCACGGUAUGCCUUUGAAUCUACAUUUUGGAUGGUUUAAAAGUCUAUAAAUUUGCUUUUUUUCUUUCUCCAGACAUUUCACCUGGUAAGCAGCCACUUGACUGGAACACUAGAAUGAAAAUAGCAGCAGGUGCUGCAAAAGGAUUAGAGUAUCUGCACGACAAAACCAUGCCUCCAGUGAUCUACCGUGAUUUGAAAUGCUCCAACAUUUUGCUCGGAGAUGACUACUUCCCGAAGCUAUCUGACUUCGGUUUGGCUAAACUCGGCCCAGUGGGUGACAAGUCUCAUGUCUCCACUCGGGUUAUGGGAACAUACGGAUACUGUGCUCCCGAGUACGCAAUGACAGGGCAGCUAACACUCAAAUCAGACGUUUAUAGCUUCGGUGUGGUUCUUUUGGAGAUCAUAACGGGGAGGAAAGCCAUAGACAACUCGAGAUGUACUGGAGAACAGAAUCUGGUUGCGUGGGUGAGAACAGUAACAGAACAAACUUUGUUUUCUCUCUAUAGAUUCGUCAUUCUAAUUGUCUCUGUUUCAGGCAAGGCCUCUGUUUAAAGACAGGAGGAAAUUCUCACAAAUGGCUGAUCCAAUGAUUCAAGGUCAAUACCCUCCGAGAGGAUUGUACCAAGCCCUUGCUGUGGCGGCAAUGUGCGUGCAAGAGCAGCCAAAUCUAAGGCCUGUUAUCGCUGAUGUUGUCACUGCACUCACUUACCUCGCUUCCCAGAGGUUUGAUCCUAUGGCUCAGCCAGUCCAAGGCUCCCUUUUCGCUCCUGGGACUCCACCUAGAUCAAAAAGGGCCUGAGAACCGCAAUGCCUCGUCAGUUAUUUACACUAGACCUUCCCGAGCUGUCUUUUUUAUUGGGAUGUGUGUCAGACUAAGCAUGAAAGUGUUUCUUAAGAGUUGUUUGUAGAUAUGUGUAAGAAGAGAGAGUUUUCACAUAGAGGCCAGUUUGUAAUGUUGUUAUAGUUGAUG